ACUGAAUAGAUACCCUGGUAGUCCCAGCUGUAAACGAUGCAGACUAGGUGUUUGGACGGCCACGUGCCGUUCUAGUGCCGCAGGGAAGCUGUUAAGUCUGCCGCCUGGGGAGUACGAUCGCAAGAUUGAAACUUAAAGGAAUUGGCGGGGGAGCACCACAAGGGGUGAAAGCUUGCGGUUUAAUUGGAGUCAACGCCGGAAAUCUCACCGGGAGCGACAGCAGUAUGAAAGCCAGAUUGAAGGUCUUGCUAGACGAGCUGAGAGGAGGUGCAUGGCCGUCGCCAGUUCGUGCCGUGAGGUGUCCUGUUAAGUCAGGCAACGAUCGAGACCCGCGUCCUCUGUUGCAACCAGUUUUGUGCUGGGCACACUGAGGAGACCGCCACUGAUAAAGUGGAGGAAGGAGCGGGCCACGGCAGGUCAGUAUGCCCCGAAUCUCCCGGGCCACACGCGAGCUGCAAUGGCAAGUACAAUGGGUUCCGACCUCGAAAGGGGGAGGCAAUCUCGAAAGCUUGCCGUAGUUGGAAUU
rnacentral:rRNA from 1 species